AUUGAACGCUGGCGGCAGGCCUAACACAUGCAAGUCGAGCGGGGUUUUCGGACCUAGCGGCGGACGGGUGAGUAAUGCGUAGGAAGCUGCCCGAUAGAGGGGGAUACCAGUUGGAAACGACUGUUAAUACCGCAUAAUGUCUACGGACCAAAGUGUGGGACCUUCGGGCCACAUGCUAUCGGAUGCGCCUACGUGGGAUUAGCUAGCUGGUGAGGUAAUGGCUCACCAAGGCGACGAUCUCUAGCUGAUUUGAGAGGAUGAUCAGCCACACUGGAACUGAGACACGGUCCAGACUCCUACGGGAGGCAGCAGUGGGGAAUAUUGGACAAUGGGCGCAAGCCUGAUCCAGCCAUGCCGCGUGUGUGAAGAAGGCCUUCGGGUUGUAAAGCACUUUCAGCGAGGAGGAAGGGGUGUGUGUUAAUAGUACACACCUUUGACGUUACUCGCAGAAGAAGCACCGGCUAACUCUGUGCCAGCCGCCGCCCGUAAUAC
rnacentral:rRNA from 1 species